rnacentral:rRNA from 1 species
UACGGAGGGGACUAGCGUUGUUCGGAAUUACUGGGCGUAAAGCGCACGUAGGCGGAUUUGUAAGUCAGGGGUGAAAUCCCGGGGCUCAACCUCGGAACUGCCUUUGAUACUGCAAAUCUCGAGUCCGGAAGAGGUGAGUGGAAUUCCUAGUGUAGAGGUGAAAUCGUAGAUAUUAGGAAGAACACCAGUGGCGAAGGCGGCUCACUGGUCCGGUACUGACGCUGAGGAGCGAAAGCAUGGGGAGCGAACAGG